rnacentral:rRNA from 1 species
AAUCAACGCCGGCGGCGUGCCUCAGACAUGCAAGUCGAACGCUGCUGUUCGCCUUCGGGUGGACAGCGGAGUGGCGCACGGGUGAGUAACACGUAGGUAAUCUACCUUUGGGUGGGAGUAACAGCCGGAACGGCGUGCUAUACCGCAUAAUGCAGCGGCAUCACAUGAUGACAGUUGUUAAAGUACGAGGGAGUCGUAAGACCUCGCGCCUGAAGAGGAGCCUGCGGCAGAUUAGGUAGUUGGUGAGGUAAUGGCUCACCAAGCCUGCGAUCUGUAACCGG